GUAAUGCUCACCGUUGACUUCAACCUCACAGAUUUCCAGGUUCGCCCAGCACGAGUAGUCCGUUUUAGGGCAGGCGGCCGGGUUGACCAUAGGACGCUGGUUGUAGAUCGUGACGUAACGGGCUUUGUGGGUUUCCCGCUCCACCCGAACUCGCAGUCCUCGAAGCAUUCCCCGGUGACGGAGUGACAGGCCGCUCCGUACUGACAGUGACAGGCGUACUGACACAGGUAGCCGAAAAAUCCCAUCGGGCACGACCCUGGAAGUUAGAGGUAGAGAACCAGUAGUUGUCAGGAACCGGACAAGACGAUUGAUUCCCCUGAGUCUCGGAGCGUGACGUAUUGAAUGAGGUUCCUUGGUUGAGGAAGUGUGUGUGUGUGUAUCUACAUGCCGUAAUAAGAUGAGUCGUUUGUCGACCAGGGGCAUAAUCGUCACCAGCGCUGUGCCCCCGGGGCCCAUGUCCUUAGAUACCUGCGC